AGAGUUUGAUCCUGGCUCAGGACGAACGCUGGCGGCGUGCCUAACACAUGCAAGUCGAGCGAAUGAAAUUCCUUCGGGAACGGAUUUAGCGGCGGACGGGUGAGUAACACGUGGGCAACCUGCCUCAUAGAGGGGAAUAGCCUUCCGAAAGGGAGAUUAAUACCGCAUAAGAUUGUAGUACCGCAUGGUACAGCAAUUAAAGGAGCAAUCCGCUAUGAGAUGGGCCCGCGGCGCAUUAGCUAGUUGGUGAGGUAACGGCUCACCAAGGCGACGAUGCGUAGCCGACCUGAGAGGGUGAUCGGCCACAUUGGGACUGAGACACGGCCCAGACUCCUACGGGAGGCAGCAGUGGGGAAUAUUGCACAAUGGGGGAAACCCUGAUGCAGCAACGCCGCGUGAGUGAUGACGGCCUUCGGGUUGUAAAGCUCUGUCUUCAGGGACGAUAAUGACGGUACCUGAGGAGGAAGCCACGGCUAACUACGUGCCAGCAGCCGCGGUAAUACGUAGGUGGCGAGCGUUGCCCGGAUUUACUGGGCGUAAAGGGAGCGUAGGCGGAUUUUUAAGUGAGAUGUGAAAUACUCGGGCUUAACCUGAGUGCUGCAUUUCAAACUGGAAGUCUAGAGUGCAGGAGAGGAGAAGGGAAUUCCUAGUGUAGCGGUGAAAUGCGUAGAGAUUAGGAAGAACACCAGUGGCGAAGGCGCUUCUCUGGACUGUAACUGACGCUGAGGCUCGAAAGCGUGGGGAGCAAACAGGAUUAGAUACCCUGAUAGUCCACGCCGUAAACGAUGAAUACUAGGUGUAGGGGUUGUCAUGACCUCCGUGCCGCCGCUAACGCAUUAAGUAUUCCGCCUGGGGAGUACGGUCGCAAGAUUAAACUCAAAGGAAUUGACGG
rnacentral:rRNA from 1 species